ACAUGCAAUCUUAUCUUUUCAUAAAAAUUACGUCAUCUCUUAUCUAGAUCAAUGAUCAUUAUAUUGUUUUAAUGAUUAAAAGCAAUCAUAGAGUAUUUGUUGUUGCCAAAUGACAAUCUCGCAAAUGAUUUUUAGCUCGUCUUCCUCAUCACAUACAGCUUUACCAGUACCAUUAUAGUAUAUAUGACAGGUUAAAGAGGAAGAAAACCAGGCUAUGAUUUGUUGUGCAGGUUCCAUGAGGAAUAAUGAAGAAUAAGGACAGAAGUAACACCUAAGUAUGGCAGAGCAAGGACCACCCCACUGAGAUCCAAAGGCACAAAUUUCUAUAUUUUUCUUAAGUUAACUUCAUGCGAACGGUUACCGUCAUGCAAAAUCUAUUCAAAGAUAUAUCCAAAUUGAUGGGGCACGUGGGAAGUGUGACGUGGCGAAAGGGCAUAGUGGAAGCAAGGGAAUGUUUUGGGGGAGAUGCUCCCUCUGCACCAAAUUUCUCUCCCCAAUUAAUAAUGAAAUAAUGGAGCAUGAGAGUGAUCCCAUGCUGGUGUUAAAUUUUCUUCUUCCCCAAGCAGAGAGUGCAUGUGGGGGUGUCGCUUGAGAAGGAAAACAAACACACAUGAUUCAUGAAGAUGCAUAGUGUUGGAUGGUUUUGGUCUACUUUUUGGGCCUUCCCCAUGUGCCCUAAGGGCCUUCUCAAUCUAAGACAACUUCGGUAGAUGGGGUCUUGCCCCUCAGUCAAACAACAUUGACCUGGGCCAAUACGAUUAUCCUUGCAAACACACCCAUCAAAACCCUACAUUUUACAUCAUACUUACUGUUUAUCCACCCCCUUUUGUUGUCUAUAUCUUUUUCAUCUCUUCAACUUCAUAAACUCUUGUCCUGCCAUUUAUAUCAUAUGUGGGGAUGGUAAAAAAUAUAUAAAAAAAUACCCCUCGGAUAAUUGCCAUGAAAGCUACAUCCAAUUCGAUUUAAAUAGCCUAACAUGCAUGUAGAUAUCAAUCAAAUAAAUAGAUUCUUUGUUCACUCGUCA